rnacentral:rRNA from 1 species
ACUUGGGAAUCUGCCCAGUAGUGGGGGACAACAUUCGGAAACGGAUGCUAAUACCGCAUACGCACUACGGUGGAAAGUGGGGGAUCUUCGGACCUCACGCUAUUGGAUGAGCCCAAGUCGGAUUAGCUUGUUGGUGAGGUAAUGGCUCACCAAGGCGACGAUCCGUAGCUGGUCUGAGAGGACGAUCAGCCACACUGGGACUGAGACACGGCCCAGACUCCUACGGGAGGCAGCGGUGGGGAAUAUUGGACAAUGGGCGCAAGUGAUCCAGCAAUGCCGCGUGUGUGAAGAAGGCCUGCGGGUUGUAAAGCACUUUCAGUAGAGAAGAAAAGCCUACGCUAAUACCCGUGAGUCUUGACGUAACCUACAGAAGAAGCACCGGCUAACUCCGUGCCAGCAGCCGCGGUAAUACGGAGGGUGCGAGCGUUAAUCGGAAUUACUGGGCGUAAAGCGCGCGUAGGGGCUUUGUAAGUCGGAUGUGAAAGCCCAGGGCUUAACCUUGGAAUUGCAUUCGAUACUGC